UACGAAGGGGGCUAGCGUUGCUCGGAAUGACUGGGCGUAAAGGGCGCGUAGGCGGAUGGCACAGUCAGAUGUGAAAUUCCCGGGCUUAACCUGGGGGCUGCAUUUGAUACGUGUUGUCUAGAGUGAGGAAGAGGGUCGUGGAAUUCCCAGUGUAGAGGUGAAAUUCGUAGAUAUUGGGAAGAACACCAGUGGCGAAGGCGGCUCACUGGCCCGGUACUGACGCUGAGGCGCGAAAGCGUGGGGAGCAAACAGG
rnacentral:rRNA from 1 species